UACCUGUCCCUAUGCAGAGACCCAGUACGUCACCAGAUGUAAUGAAAAAGCCUUUGCACUGCGCAAUUGAGCACAGGGCAAAGGAGAGAAUCGGAGCAUGAAAUGUUCCAAUGCUCAUAUCAG